UACUGUUCCUGCAGCUCCACUCCAGUGCCCUGGCCUGGAGGUCACUGCAGAGCAUCCUCCCUCAUCACACCCAGACCCCAGAGCAUGGCUCCUGCUCUGUGCCAUGGGACAUCCCAGGGGCUGGAGGUGCACGCGGUGCCAUUGAGCUCCCUGCUGCAGGGAGAUACGGCCUCUUCCCGGCCCUUAUCACCCGGCGGCAGCUGCAGAGGAGGGGAGAUGGAGCAGCUCCCAUGAUGCAAACAGGUCCAGGCCCUGCCACAACUCCCGCAUCCAAAAGCUGGAUGAGGUCAGGGCACCGGCAGCCUCAGGGCAUGGCCAAGAGGAGGGGAGGUGCAAGCUCUGCCCCCCCCAGAGGAGAAGGUGCCAGCCCCCAGCAGAGCUCCCCAGGCCCCCAGCCCCUCCAUCAAACAAGCUGGGGGAGCCCAGCCCAGCCAUGAGGAGCUCAGGGCUGUGCAGAGCAAACUAAAGCCUUCAAACACAUCCAGACCUUCCUUUCCUGGACUCUGCCUGCAGCAGGGAAUCCUGCCUCCCCUCCUGGUGCUUUCAUACAGACAUGCUUGAAGCUGGGAUGGAGAGAGAAGAGAGUGAGCCCGUGCCCAGUGAGGAAGAGGAGAUGAGUGGAAGAGGCACCGUGAGGCUGGACCCGGUCAGCGCUCACCCCCUCCUGCUGCUGGCUGCUGACGGACGGGGCGUGCGCCGCGGGGACGGCUGGAGCCCGGUGCCCGACGGGGCCGAGCGCUUCGACACGGAGCCGUGCGUGCUGGGCACCAGGGGC
rnacentral:lncRNA from 14 species